rnacentral:rRNA from 1 species
CCUACGGGAGGCAGCAGUGGGGAAUAUUGCACAAUGGGGGAAACCCUGAUGCAGCGACGCCGCGUGAGCGAUGAAGUAUUUCGGUAUGUAAAGCUCUAUCAGCAGGGAAGAAAAUGACGGUACCUGACUAAGAAGCCCCGGCUAACUACGUGCCAGCAGCCGCGGUAAUACGUAGGGGGCAAGCGUUAUCCGGAUUUACUGGGUGUAAAGGGAGCGUAGACGGUCCUGCAAGCCAGAUGUGAAAGCUCGGGGCUCAACCCCGGGACUGCAUUUGGAACUGUAAGGCUAGAGUGCCGGAGAGGCAGGCGGAAUUCCUAGUGUAGCGGUGAAAUGCGUAGAUAUUAGGAGGAACACCAGUGGCGAAGGCGGCCUGCUGGACGAUGACUGACGUUGAGGCUCGAAAGCGUGGGGAGCAAACAGGAUUAGAUACCCUUGUAGUC